CCCCACUGGGGGUCUUUGGGGUUUUGUGGUGCCCUUUAUGGGAUUUUCCCCCCUACAGCCGCUCCCGAUCCGCGCGGCCUCCCCCGAAUUUGGGAUCCUGACACCGACGACCCCAUAUCCGACGACCCCAUAUCCGACAUCGCCGCCCCAUUGUUUCUGUCCUCCCGCGGCUUCGCUCCACCCCACAACAGCGACGACCCCAUAAAGGCGACGUCCGACCCCAUAAACGCCGACUCUCCGUCACCCCAUAAGCUGGACUCGUUCCCGACCCUAAAAGACGACAAUGGGGACGAAGAGCUGAACUUCGAAUUCCUCCCCGUGGAUUUGGGGUCAAAAGGGAAGAAAAAGGGCAAAAGGAACGCCGGCCCCGUUGGGGUUGACCCUAUUGAUCCUAUUAGGGUCAGGGUUGGCCCCGCUGACCCUAUAAGGGUCGGGGUUGAUCCCACUGGUCCCACUGGGGUCAAAGUUGACCCGUUGGCCAACGUUGACCCCAUAAGGGUUGGGGUCGACCCCAUUGACCCUAUAAGGGUUGGGGUUGACCCCACUGACCCCAUUAGGGUCGGGGUUGACCCCACUGACCCUAUUAGGGCCAGGGAUGGUCCAUUGGCCAACGUUGACCCUAUAAGGGUUGGGGUCGACCCCACUGACCCCAUUGGGGUUGGGGUUGACCCCAUUGACCCCAUUGGGGUUGGGGUUGACCCCAUUGACCCCAUUAGGGUCAGGGCUGGCCCGUUGGCCAACGUUGACCCCAUAAGGGUUGGGGUCAACCCCAUUGACCCCAUUAGGGUUGGGGUUGACCCCACUGACCCUAUUAGGGCCAGAGCUAGCCCGUUGGCCAACGUUGACCCCAUAAGAGUUGGGGUUGACCCCAUUGACCCCAUUAGGGUCAGGGCUGGCCCGUUGGCCAACGUUGACCCUAUAAGGGUCGGGGUUGACCCCACUGACCCCAUUAGGGUCAGGGCUGGCCCGUUGGCCAACGCUGACCCCAUAAGGGUCGGGGUCGACCCCACUGACCCUAUUAGGAUUGGGGUCAACCACACCCACCCCAUUGGGGUCAACCCAUUGGCCAAGGUUUACCCCAUUGUCACGGCGGCGCAUUUUGGGGUCGCGGGGCUUUUGGGGGAUCCCAAUCUUUUGGGGGAUCCCAAUCUUUCGGGGGACAUCAGCGGUUCCGGGGACACCGAUCUUCCCACCACGACCCCAAAAACCCCAAACCCCAUAACCACCCCAAAUCCCACCACCACCCCAAAGCAAGGUGGGUUCCUUCCCCGAUCCCCUGACCCUAUAAAACAAAAAAACCCCGAACUCUGGGGUUAUAGGGCCGCCAUCCCGACCCUAUUUCCCACCCCUCCCCCUCCCCAGGGCUGUGCCAUAAUAACGGGGUGCACAUCAAUGGGAUUUGUCACUGCACCCCAUUAUUUUAUGGGGUCGAGUGUCAGUACGCCAAGGAGAGCGUGGAGGUCAACGACGAGAGGGCAGCGUCGUGGUGACGUACGAAGUCCUCCUUCGGGUCGGGGCGGGGAUUGGCGCCGCCGCCGUCGUGGAGGACCGCGUGGAGGACCUCCUGCAGGCCACCGCCGCCAAUUGCAGUCAAUGCAGCGACGUCACGUGCGAGCUGUGCUUCAAUGCCUCCCACACCGCUGUGACCAACUACAGCAUUCAGCCCCUGGAUGAAGAGCUGUGCCGGCAGUUCGUCCCGCCGUCUCUGAUUGGCUACUACUCCCCCGUCCUCUCAACCAAUGGCGUUCUUUGCGUCACCCGUUGCCACCCGCUUUCCUCCGAGCCCCUCCCGUGCGUGCACGGAGCAUGCGCAGUGAGCGACGACGGGCCGCAGUGCGACUGCAGUGACCCCGGCUCCUUCUGGUACCUGGACUCGUCGUGCAGCUCCAGGCUGAGCAAAGUGGGCUUGGCUCUCGGGCUCCCCCUGGCGGCGCUUUGCGUCGGUGCAGCGGGCUGCGGGGCGGCGCUGCUGAGGAGCAGGAGGCUGCGCAGGGCGG
rnacentral:lncRNA from 1 species